rnacentral:rRNA from 1 species
UACAGAGGGGGCAAGCGUUGUUCGGAAUUACUGGGCGUAAAGGGCGCGUAGGCGGCCUGCUAAGUCGAACGUGAAAUCCCUGGGCUCAACCCAGGAACUGCGUCCGAUACUGGAUGGCUUGAAUUCGGGAGAGGGAUGCAGAAUUCCAGGUGUAGCGGUGAAAUGCGUAGAUAUCUGGAGGAAUACCGGUGGCGAAGGCGGCAUCCUGGACCGACAUUGACGCUGAUGAGCGAAAGCUAGGGGAGCAAACGGG